UGGGGAAUUUUGGACAAUGGGCGAAAGCCUGAUCCAGCAAUGCCGCGUGUGUGAAGAAGGCCUUCGGGUUGUAAAGCACUUUUGUCCGGAAAGAAAUCCUUGGCUCUAAUACAGUCGGGGGAUGACGGUACCGGAAGAAUAAGCACCGGCUAACUACGUGCCAGCAGCCGCGGUAAUACGUAGGGUGCAAGCGUUAAUCGGAAUUACUGGGCGUAAAGCGUGCGCAGGCGGUUUGCUAAGACCGAUGUGAAAUCCCCGGGCUCAACCUGGGAACUGCAUUGGUGACUGGCAGGCUAGAGUAUGGCAGAGGGGGGUAGAAUUCCACGUGUAGCAGUGAAAUGCGUAGAGAUGUGGAGGAAUACCGAUGGCGAAGGCAGCCCCCUGGGCCAACACUGACGCUCAUGCACGAAAGCGUGGGGAGCAAACAGGAUUAGAUACCCUGGUAGUCCACGCCCUAAACGAUGUCAACUAGUUGUUGGGGAUUCAUUUCCUUAGUAACGUAGCUAACGCGUGAAGUUGACCGCCUGGGGAGUACGGUCGCAAGAUUAAAACUCAAAGGAAUUGACGGGGUCAUAGCUG
rnacentral:rRNA from 1 species